GCAACAGAGAAUUUAUGAAUUCAUCUCAUAACUCGAGUUGAUCGCCGACGCUGAGUUGGAAUUAUGUGAAUGCAGAUACAGAGAAGACAUUGUGAGUUGUUGUUUAUCGCUAGCAGGUAGACUCAGCUCAUUCCUCUCAUAAACAAACCCAACUCACACUCAUAUCAUUAACCAGCAGUGAAUGCAAAGCGUUAGCGUUCGCUUAGUAGUGGAAUAGUGUGUGAUCGUCACUUAUUGUUAUGCGAAUUCAUUGUUUCUCUCAUUCUUUUAACAGAACAGGGUGCACCCAUAGCCGUAGACGCUUAACCGAGACAGUUUAUUAAAUAUUUAAAUUCGUCAUUUGUUUUGUGCAUACGAAGAUAAAAGGGGGUAAAAUAGUUUUGGCAUGGCAUAAUGGAUAUGAAUCUGCAUCGUCAACCCAGUCGACGCCUGUACUAAGGCAGCAGCUUAAUGAAAUUAAGGAUAAUAUAGUGAAAGGCAAAUAUAUGUACAGUGGUUAUUGAAGCUAGAAAAGCAAGGUUUGGGAAAUUUUUGGCAAGGUUGAAAAUAGUGGCAGUUUGGUAAGAGAUGUUGUUGCAUGCAAAAAUUGUAACAGCGUUUUGAAAUUUAUGAAUAGCACGUCUAACCUUGUGAAACAUAAAUGCUAUAAAAAUUUAAAAAACCGUUCGGAUAACUCAAAGAUAUUAGUGGACAACGACACAAAAAAAAUGUUGCUGAUACGUUUACUGAAUGGGUCACUAAAAAUUGCAGAACAUUCAAGAUGAUCGAAGAUGCAGGACUGAAAAAAUAUACGGAUCUAAUGCUUUCAAUUGGAGCUAAGUAUGAGUCGAACGUAUAUACUGAUCAACUAUUACCUCAUCCAACAACGAUAUCCAGAAACAUAGACAAUCUAUACAAUAUAGCCCCCGAUUCCUUAAAAUUAGAACUAAGUGAACUUAAUACCUUUGGACUUACCUCAGAUUUAUGGACCGAUAAUUAUUUAAAACAAUCGUUUUUGUCUAUGACUAUACAAAAAGCGGAAAAAUUGGACUGAAGCUUAUUGCCUUUCGAUCAAGGGAUUUUGAAUCUUGUAGCAGUAAGUAUUUGUUGAAACGGUAUAUAUUUGCAGAUAUGUAUGUGCACGUACUAUAUGUGGUGUCAAGUACAACAAUUUGUUGUAAUUUCAAGAAAUGUUUACCACAAUUGCACACUAAUAUUUCAGUGCUCGCAGCUGUACAUACGUAUUUUCAAAUCAAACUUGAUAUCUCGUAGG